rnacentral:rRNA from 1 species
CGCACGGGUGAGUAAUGCAUAGGUAACGUGCCCCUUAGUCUGGGAUAGCCACUGGAAACGGUGAAUAAUACCGGAUACUCCUUCUCACUUAAUGUGAGUCGGGAAAGUUUUUCGCUAAGGGAUCGGCCUAUGUCCUAUCAGGUAGUUGGUGAGGCAAGAGCUCACCAAGCCUAUGACGGGUAGCGGGUCUGAGAGGAUGAUCCGUCACACUGGGACUGAGACACGGCCCAG